GCUAAUACAGGAGAUGUAAAAGGUUUGAUUUCUGGGUGGUGAAGACCACCCCCCGCCCCCACUUCCUGGGAGGAGGGCAUGGCAACGCACUCCAAUAUUCUUGCCUGGAGAACCCUAUGAACAGAGGAGCCUGGUGGGCUACAGUCCAUAGGGUGGAGCAGCCAAGAAAUCACCUGAGGCAAGAUUUAAGGAGCCAGAGAAGCUCAUCAAGAGGAGGAGCCUUGAGACGAGAUUAGGGAGUGGAAGCCCUGCUCACACCCUAAUCUUGUCAGAGACCCCAUCUUUGAUCCACUGUUGUAAAAAAUCCUUAUCACGUUCUCAGUUGGGACACAGUUUUUUUGAGGCAGAAGCCUGUGUCUCCCUUUGCCUAGAAAAGCAAUAAAGCUAUCCUUUUCUACUUCACCCCAAACUCUGUGUCUGGGAUUUGAUUCAGCACCACUGCACAGCGAGGCCAACCUUUCAGUAAGGCCUUCAUAGUGAAAAAAACUGUGGAAUAGAGAAGAUAAGUAACUCAUCUUACAUCACACAGACAUGGUUUGAACCCAGGCCAUGGUAUAUCAGAGGGAUCUUCCUGACCCAGGGAUCAAAUCUGCAUCAUCUGAAUUGGCAGCUGGAUUCUUUACCACUGAGCCACCAGGGAAGCCCAGUACUAAUUAACUAAGCUAGCCAUUAAACACCUGUACCCUUUUUUUAAAAACGUGAACUUAUUUCAUCUCCAAUUCCUUUUUUGAGAUUCUAAAGUCUUCUCAGCCAUGAAGACCAAGUGUUAAAAGUUGGACCAUUUUUUUUACUGCUCUAGACGCAUUUUUUUAUUGCUUUUGUUUACAAGAUGGGUUGUCUUUUGUACAUAAAAAUAAUGAUUCUGGCAUUGAGCUAGCCACUAUAGCUGGUAUGGUCUUUCAGUCUCUUUGAAUAUUUGGUAACAUCCAGUUUCAAAAGAACUUGUUCUCUCUCUUUGAAUGUAUAUGUUGGCAUAUCAUGGGCUAGGAGGAAGACCUCUUGGAAUAAUGGAUUAGACACCAUAUGUAUGUUUUUAUUUUCCAAUAUAUAGUGCAGAGUUCAAAGACAGUGAGGUUGUACAUAAAACACUGACCACUUGUCUUGCUGUAUCUCGCUGUUUGCUGAACCCAGGGUGGGCAAGGUGCAAGCAGGGAAGCUGGAAGAAAACUCGAAGAACUACAGACAUGUUUAUUUUCUCCUGGCUGGUGCAGCAGCCACAGACACGCUGUACUCUCUCAUAGCUGACCCGGCACACACAGCCAUAACGUGGCCACAAGGGGUUUUUCAGGUGGAGUUUAUAUACGCUUACAGAACAACAGUGACCCGUGGCCAAGCAGGCACAUCCUGACAGGCAUCACAAUGCUAUAAGUGAUCUCAGUUGUUACAUAACCAUAUAUUUACAAAACAUGGGGUGAGAGCGAGAGGCCGUGGGCUGAGAGCCUGGCCUCCAC
ensembl:lncRNA